UUUAGUAAAUACACUGCACAUUGUAAUUCAAGUCCAAGUGACGGCAAUUUUCUAUAGAAUGCUGAAAACUUUCAUCAAAUCUAAAUGCUGAAGACAGUAGUGAGGAUGAUAAAUAAAACCAGACAGUUUGCAUAUCUGACAGGCGUAGACCUAGAACAUAGCAAAAGUCAAACUAGAGAGGCAAAGGGAGGGACUGGGUUCUGGAGAAGAAAGAAUAGAUGAGGAGCAUUUUUUUUCAGUUCUUUACAUUUUUUCUUUCAGUUCGAGAUUUCUUUUUGAUAGAUCAUGUAGUAUGUAUUUGCCCGUCUGGAGUUGAUUACUGGUUGAGUACUUUAGUUUCUUGUACAGUAGAAAUUGUAUCAUUAAUCUUUCAAGAAGGGGGAUUCAUUGGCA